CGCCUCCUGUACCCUAUGGGAGGUCUAGCCUGCCCAGUGACUCUGUUCAACGGCCGCGGUACACUAACCGUGCAAAGGUAGCACAAUCACUUGUCUCUUAAAUCGAGACCUGUAUGAAUGACAUCACGAGGAUUUAACUGUCUCCCUUCACCAAUCAGUGAAACUAAUCUCCCUGUGAAAAAGCAGGGCUACUCAUACAAGACGAGAAGACCCUAUGGAGCUUUAAACUAGUAACACUUGCUCACUUUCCCAUGAUAUUCAGCAUAAUGCUUAUACGUUUUUGGUUGGGGUGACCCUGGAGAAAAACCUAACCUCCAGGCUGUUAAAUAUAAGAACCUCAAUUCUACAAUCAACAUAUUGACACAAUUGACCCAAACAUUUGAUCAACGAACCAAGUUACCCUAGGGAUAACAGCGCCAUCCACUUCAAGAGCACAUAUCAACAAGUGGGCUUACGACCUCGAUGUUGGAUCAGGAUUCCCCAGUGGUGCAGCCGCUACUAAAGGUUUGUUUGUUCAACAAUUAAAAUCC
rnacentral:rRNA from 1 species